GAGACAUCUUGGGCUUUGACAUUAUUGACUGACAGAGGAACAGAAAUCAUAACACAUGUUGAAAUAGAGGCUCACUUGUCAGAAGCAGAUAAAGUAAGGUCAUCUAUCCACAGUCAAAACAGCUUUUCAUGAAACCUGGAUGGAGAGAUACCUUUCUUUCAGAAUCUUCUAUUAGAAGCCUACUUAAGAGAGAAAUAUGCAUUGUAGUGAGAUGAGCAACAAGAACUAAUACCUACACAGAAAGAGAAUGACAGCAAAUAAUCCUCAGUCUCACUAAGAAAGGUAAUGUGAACAGAUUUUUAUUCUUCUUAACCAAGAACAGAA
rnacentral:lncRNA from 1 species